rnacentral:tRNA from 2 species
GGGGAUGUAGCUCAGUGGUAGAGCGUCCGCUUUGCAUGCGGAAGGUCCGGGGUUCGAUCUCCCGCAUCUCCG